ncrna:unclassified sequences nhaA-I RNA
GGGUGCGCUGCUGCAUACGGCACAGCGCAGGUUAAAGGAUAAUCAUUGGUCGGGCCGCCAAUG